rnacentral:pre_miRNA from 1 species
AUUCUACUCCCUCCGUUGCACAAUACUACAUGCCUUCUAUUUGUUAAAAUAUAUAUAUGUAUCUAGACAUGUCUUAGUAUAUAGGUACAUCCAUUUUUGGACAAAUGGAAGUCAAGUAUUUUGGAACGGAGGGAGUACACA